GGGUCCUGUUCAUUUCCCUCCUUCCAGAUGGACUCUGGUACCAGCAGAGGUUCUGAUGCUGUCCAUCUCUUCCUCUUUAUCAAGACAGGAGGAGCUCCACAGAGAAGCUACUCAGUCUAUUUUAAACCCACCCCCCCACUCCCCACCCCCCGGUCUGCUGCAGUAACAGUUUCUGUUUUCCUUUCUGCGAUUGCGAUGGUCUCCAUCUGAAGGGACAUUGGAGGCCAGCCCAGGGUUCUGUUUGGAGCAGUAAAAGGAGGCGCGAGAAACCCUGAGCAUCUCUGGGUUUUUCCACUCUCCAUGCACUGGUUUGAUGUACUGUCUCCUCUCUGGUUUUACAGUAAGUCAGUAUAAAUUAUUGGACACAUUGAUGAAGUGAAACACUGCUGGGCUUGGUUCCCAACUCCUUCCUCUGGGGCCACCUGAGCAUCUCACCAUGGCUGCACGGUGAUAGCCUGUGAUGACAGCAUGCCCCUUGUCCCACAAUGGCCCUGCACCACAGCUGGAUUUUUCCUGGUGGCCUCUGCUCCUCCAGGAGAGGAAGGCUGAUGCCUGGGGUUUGGAGUAUGAGGAGUGUGCUCUGUUCUCUGUCAUCACUGUUGCAAUGUGAAUUUCUCACAUGCAAGGCAUCAUUAAUUACACACACAUAAAAUCAGUCACGGUUCCGGACAGCACAUUGCUGUCUGCAGCCUUGAAACACUUGGAACAUUCAGAGGUCUAGGAAAAUAUCCAAAGAUAGCAAAAAUAUGUGUGUGUUCUAUUUUUUUUUUAAAGACACUUGUUGCUACAAAGGAGAUGGAAAGCAGAUUUAGCUGUAAAAUUUAUUGAUGUUCAAGCAAAAAGAAUAGAUUGGAAGCAGCCUGCACCCUGACACCACCAGCGAGUCUGUUGAUGUUAAAGACGCUUAUGCAGCGGGUGCUGCUGGGCUGCCAGGUGUGGGAAGGGGCAGUGGUUGGGGCCCUCUCUGGGGCAGGCUGGCAGGCAGUCCUUUUCAAACUGUUAAAGAGACUGGUCUCAACUUGUAGCCUGGUGUUUUGUGUGGGCCUGGCUUUGCAGGCAGGAUUCUCAUUUCUGCUUAACAGCCCUAUCUGAGACCAUCUGUGUGCUGAGCAGCUGAGACCUGUAGAGAUCUUCAAGGAACUCAGGACCACUUUAUUUUCUCAGCCAUCCCUUUGCAAGCCAAUGUUCACUGUUGGAAGAGUUUCUGCAAGGUGCCUGUUUGCAGCGGGUGAUUGUGUUCAACCCCAUUUACUGUGACGAUGUUCUCAUGCUCGUCUAUACUUGAAUGAAUGCUCGCUGCUUGGCAGAGAACCACAGCCUUGCCAGUAGGCUGAACUGUUCCCAGGCAUCUUGUGACAAGAAGCAAUCUAGUGACAAUAGAUUCCAUGAGAGUCGAGCACUGGUAGCUCUAUCCAUUUGGGAAUGGAGAAUGGUUGCUUGGCCACCAGCAACUUCUCCAAAGCCCCCAGAAGAGCAAUAGCAGAGAGAGCAGAAUCCCACUGGGCACCACCAUCCCAGGCCUGUUGGCCCUACCCAACUUGCUCAGCUUCUGAGCAGACUCCUCGCACCUACAGGGCAGGGGCAUCUGUUUCUUACUCUGGGAGGAAGAUGCAUAGACAUUUCCUCACUGUAAACUGAUAGCAAGGACAGGCCCCCAGAUGGUCCAGGCCCAGGAUCCAAAGUGAGUUGGUGAGCAAUGCACUAAGAGGC
rnacentral:lncRNA from 1 species